rnacentral:lncRNA from 10 species
AGAAAAGAAGUGAUCAAAAAAUGAUGGAAAUGUGCAAUAUACUAGACCUGCUUAUACUAGCUUGUGAAAACUAAUUGAGCAAAUCAAACUAGUGUUUUCAUUCUCCUCUCUUAUUUUCUUAUUAAGUUAGCUUUAUAUGGGUGUGUCUACCAUUACUGUUUAUUUUGUAACACUUCCAAUUUUUUUGGACUAGCAGUAACAGAAUAACUGAUAGAAUUAAUAACUACAUUUCUUAGUUCAAUAAUGUUCUCCUCUGUUGGCAAAAUGAAGUAAGGAGGUUUUUACAAUCAAUUGUGCCAUUUUGAGAAGUUGAAUUUGUAUUUUUUCUGAUUUUUGUAAUAUUAUUCUUUCUACCAGCUACUUCAUUUCCACCUUUUGUGUCCUUCAAACUUCCAAGGGACAGCUCCUCUAUUCAAAGGUGCUUUGUUCCUGAAGUCAGGAAGCACCUUGCAAGUAAAGGAUGAAUUUUAAAGAUUUUUUGAUUUUGGACAAUAUCCCUGGCCACCCAGAACCUCCUGAGUUCAACAUUACAGGUUCUCGCGGGCUGGAGUGAAGUGGCACAAUCAUAUCUCACUACAGCCUCAAACUCCUGGGCUCAGUUGAUCUUCCUGAGUUGCCUCCCGAGUUGCUGGUACUACUGGUGCAUGCCACCACACCUGGAUAAUUUAUUUUUUAAUCUUUUGUGGAGACUAUAUCUUACUCUGUUGCCCAGGCUGGAGUGCAGUGGCACAAUCAUGGCCUACUGCAAACUUGAACUUCUGGGCUCCAGUGAUCCUCCUGCCUCAGCCUCCUGAAUAGUUGGGACUAUAGGCAAGCAUCACCAUACCCAGUUGAUUUCCUCUUACUUUUUGUGAAUACAGGCUCUCACUAUUCUGGACAGGCCAGUCUCAAACUCCUGGGCUCAAGCAAUCCUCCCACUUUGGCCUCUCAGAUUGUUGGGAUUACAAGCGUAAGCCUCUGCACCUAGCCUGCAUUCUCACUUUUUAAAAAACAAGAGAGUAUCUACUUCCACAUUAAAUUACAUAGUGUAGAUUAUAAAUCUUUUUGAUCUUCAUACUGACAAAUGAAGAAAUAAAAUCUCAAAAUUUUGAUAUGCAUGUUUAUAAAUUAUGCUCUGCAUCCUUCUAUCUGAGAACUACUUGAAUUUACUUUUCUCUGCACUGUGGAACCAUAUCCUUUCUAUGUUUUUAAGUAGUUUGUUGUUAUUUUUAUAAUAUCGCAGUCCCUUAACUCUGGUAAAUUUUACAAAUACCCCUAAUAUUCCUCAUGUUUUUACUUAAAUUUCAGCUUUAUUUAUAAAAUAAAAUUUUGCCUGAGAGAAAGUAUUAAGUUUUGUGCUUCAAUUUAUGGUUUCUGGGCAGAAAAGAGUCUUCAUAUCUAGAAACAAUAUACUAUUCAUACAGAACAUAACUACAUGUAAAUUUGUAUAAGCACACAGCUUCAUGUCUUCUUUUGUACUUUUUUGACUUCCAAUUUUUACAUUUUAAAUACUUAAUUUAACAGGAAUGUUGGUAUAAAGCAGAAAUAUUUUUCCU